UGUCUGUCCCCAGGGUCCUCUCACUGAUAUCUCUAAACGGAGUCGCAGUGCAAAGUUUUGUCUCGUCCCGAAGUUCAAAAAAGAAAAAAACAACAAGAACAGAGAAACAUCUACCUGUCUGUCUCUACCAGUUCAUCAGUGGGGGACGGAGGAGGUGGGUAUCUGGCUGGACUUCCUGUGUCUCUCAGAAUAUAAAGACAUCUUCGUUGGACACGACGUUCGCGGAGCUGAACUCAUCCACCUGGAGAGGAGGGACCUGAAGGACCUGGGAGUGACGAAGGUGGGCCACAUGAAGAGGAUACUUCAGGGAAUCAGAGAGCUGAACAGGAACAGCAGCGCCAGCGAAGCCUGAGGUCUGUGACAUCACAUCUGAGCUGUGAUUGGACGAGUGCCUAAACAUGAGCUACCUGCAGUGAGCGCUGAGCAACACUUCAUCACCAUUUAUAUUAUUAUUACUUUUAUUAGCAAUAUUAUUCUCAUUAGUAUCAUCAGAGCGGCCUUAUCGUGACGUCUGAGUCUCUUCAGGGAACACAGAGCUGAUGGCCAAUCAGAACCCUUUAAACCAUGUGGUGCUAGCUGCUAGCUGGCUCGCUGUUCUUCCCACAGGCCCUACCCCGGAGCCUGCGGUCUUCAGACUCUGGCCCCCCGCACCAACCUGCGAUCCUUCGGGGACAGAGCCUUCAGUGUGGCAGCCCCCACUCUCUGGAACGCUCUCCCUGCGGAGAUCCGCAACAUCCCCACGCUUAAAGACCUUCAAAAGGGCCCUCAAGUCCCAUCUGUUCACCAAGGCCUUUGGCCCCAAAUCUAUUUGUUGUUUCAUCUAAACUGUUCGUCUGACUGCCUUUUGUUUUGUUAUGUUUGUUAUGUUUGUUUAUACUCCAGUUCUUCCUUCUAAAGCGACCUUGGGGAUUAUGAAAGGCGCUAUAGAAAUCCAAGUUAUUAUUAUUAUGUGACCAGGGUCAGCCAACAGGAAGCGGAGAAUAAAACUGAUUAAAUAUUCAUUUCUGCUUAAGAAACUGACGAGGAGCCAAUCAGGAGGUCCCAAAUACCUACCUGUCUCUACCUGUCUGUCUCUCUACCUGUCUGUCUCUACCUGUCCGUCUCUACCUGUAUGUCUCUACCUGUCUGUCUCUACCUGUCUGUCUCUACCUGUAUGUCUCUACCUGUAUGUAUCUACCUGUCUCUCUCUACCUGUCUCUCUCUACCUGUAUGUCUCUACCUGUCUGUCUCUCUACCUGUCAGUCUCUACCUGUCUGUCUCUACCUGUCUGUCUCUACCUGUCUGUGUCUCCAACUAUCUGUCUCUAGCUGUCUCUCUCUACCUGUCUCUCUCUACCUGUAUGUCUCUCUACCUGUCUCUCUCUACCUGUCUCUCUCUACCUGUAUGUCUCUCUACCUGUCUCUCUCUAUCUGUCUGUCUCUACCUGUCAGUCUCUACCUGUCAGUCUCUACCUGUCUGUCUCUCCACCUGUCAGUCUCUAUCUGUCUGUCUCUCCACCUGCCUGUCUCUACCUGUCUGUCUUUCAGGGACCAUCAGAUCAGUUUUUGUCUAUAAUAGUAUUUUAGUAUUUUUCUGUAAGCUGUUUGAGAUAACAGAGGAAACGCUGAUGAUGUUUGUAUCAAUAAAGUUUCAUAUCCAGUU